CUACGGGGUGCAGCAGUGGGGAAUCUUAGACAAUGGGCGCAAGCCUGAUCUAGCCAUGCCGCGUGAUCGAUGAAGGCCUUAGGGUUGUAAAGAUCUUUCAGAUGGGAAGAUAAUGACGGUACCAUCAGAAGAAGCCCCGGCUAACUCCGUGCCAGCAGCCGCGGUAAUACGGAGGGGGCUAGCGUUAUUCGGAAUUACUGGGCGUAAAGCGCACGUAGGCGGAUUAGCAAGUCAGAGGUGAAAUCCCAGGGCUCAACCUUGGAACUGCCUUUGAAACUGCUAGUCUUGAGUUCGAGAGAGGUGAGUGGAAUUCCGAGUGUAGAGGUGAAAUUCGUAGAUAUUCGGAGGAACACCAGUGGCGAAGGCGGCUCACUGGCUCGAUACUGACGCUGAGGUGCGAAAGCGUGGGGAGCAAACAGGAUUAGAUACCCUCGUAGUC
rnacentral:rRNA from 1 species